rnacentral:rRNA from 1 species
AGAGUUUGAUCCUGGCUCAGGAUGAACGCUAAGGCUUAACACAUGCAAGUCGAACGGCAGCAUGGAAGAGCUUGCUCUUCUGAUGGCGAGUGGCGAACGGGUGAGUAAAGCAUCGGAACGUACCGUGUAGUGGGGGAUAACGUAGCGAAAGUUACGCUAAUACCGCAUACGCACUGAGGUGGAAAGCAGGGGAUCGCAAGACCUUGCGCUAUACGAGCGGCCGAUGUCAGAUUAGCUAGUUGGUAGGGUAAAGGCCUACCAAGGCGACGAUCUGUAGCGGGUCUGAGAGGAUGAUCCGCCACACUGGGACUGAGACACGGCCCAGACUCCUACGGGAGGCAGCAGCGGGGAAUUUUGGACAAUGGGCGAAAGCCUGAUCCAGCCAUGCCGCGUGAGUGAAGAAGGCCUUCGGGUUGUAAAGCUCUUUCGGCUGGGAAGAAAUCGCACAGGCUAAUACUCUGUGUGGAUGACGGUACCAGCACAAGAAGCACCGGCUAACUACGUGCCAGCAGCCGCGGUAAUACGUAGGGUGCGAGCGUUAAUCGGAAUUACUGGGCGUAAAGCGUGCGCAGGCGGUUGUGCAAGACAGAUGUGAAAUCCCCGGGCUCAACCUGGGAACUGCAUUUGUGACUGCACGACUAGAGUACGGCAGAGGGGGGUAGAAUUCCACGUGUAGCAGUGAAAUGCGUAGAGAUGUGGAGGAAUACCGAUGGCGAAGGCAGCCCCCUGGGCCGAUACUGACGCUCAUGCACGAAAGCGUGGGGAGCAAACAGGAUUAGAUACCCUGUAGUCCACGCCCUAAACGAUGUCAACUAGUUGUUGGUAGGGUUAAACCUAUUAGUAACGUAGCUAACGCGUGAAGUUGACCGCCUGGGGAGUACGGUCGCAAGAUUAAAACUCAAAGGAAUUGACGGGGACCCGCACAAGCGGUGGAUGAUGUGGAUUAAUUCGAUGCAACGCGAAAA